GCUUACGGCCACACCGCCUGGUUCACGCCCGAUCUCGUUUGAUCUCGGAAGAUAAGAUAGGUUGGGCCUGGUUAGUACUUCGAUGGGAGACCGCCUAGGCAUACCAGGUGCUGUAAGGC
ensembl:rRNA 5S_rRNA 5S ribosomal RNA